AUAAUUAUUAAUUCUUAUUAUUUUUUUAGAAUCCACUUAAUAAAAGUAUUCAAGAGAAAUAUUGUGACACAAUGUUUAGUUCUGCACAAUGUUGUAACAGUUUUUCAGUGGAACGUUUUCAGCACUCAAAAUUGAAAUAUUCCUAAGCACUAUCAAAAUGUGUGGUAUAUCAAUGUUGAUGAGGAUCUUGAACCUGAACAAAACUCUGGAAACACAAAAUCUAAUAAUGAAAAUAAGAUUUGUGUAUAAAAAAUGGCAAGAACUUAUAGACCCAUGUACUUUUCUAAAAAAGCUGAAAAAGUGUUUAAUAAUGGUUGAGACUUGAGGGGACGAGGCCACGAGGGUACUACAGUUUCUUACAAACCAAUUAAAAUCAAAUAUUAAACAAACAUGGUCCAUUCAAUUUCAUUUGAUGAAAAACCGCUGUGGAAAAGAUUUUAAAAUAAAAUGUAUGUACAGCCGUUGCCAGAUAAAUUGAGACGGCGGCGCCGCUUUUCAGUAGGUGUAUCCAAAACUAGUCCCGAUGUGUAAAAUCUAGAUUACAAAUUUGGAUCUGAUAUGUUUGAUUUAUGGACUACCGAAGAAAUACCACAGAUUUUAAUGCAUAUAAUGCACCAGAGCCUAAAAUUUGCUACUGCACACCUAAUUCCAUACUCCAAAAUAUUUUUAAAUAAUAAACAUAGACUUAGUAGUACACAUGCCACAUAUAACUUCAUACCAUAAUUCUAUUUGGUAUUUAUUAAUAAUUAGUUAAAUUAAAUUAAAUCUAAGACAAUCUUUCAUUAAAGUCCUUGAUACCUAUAUAACUAAAAAUUUAAAAAAUCAAAUCAAAAUAACUUCAGUUAAAAUACAAAUUUUAGUAAUGCACAUUUUUAAAGUUUCUAUUGCACAUAUAAUAUUAGCAACUGCACACACUUUUAGGCCCUGUAACGCACAUUUAUCAUCUGAUUACAAAUUUGAUGAGCAUACCGAGUUAUUUAUCACAGAUUUUUGGUAUUUACUUAUAAUUAAUUAAAAAAUCAUAUUCAAAAAAUUUAAUUUUAAGGUUUGAAUGAUACUGUGAUAAAAACUCAUUGGCUUAAAAUUGUAUUUAGUGCACGUUACUGAUACUUACAUUUAAAAUAUUUUCUCAUAAUAUAUAAUAUAUAUAUUAUAUAUUUAUAAACGUGCAUACUUAUAUCUGUUAUAAUAUUUAUUAUAACUUAAAUUAUUUAUCCCGAAAAAUGUAUUUUUGUAAUAGUCAUGUUUUUUCUAUUUAUAAUAUAUUAAUUAAUAAUUAUACUUAAUAAUUUGAAUUGUAUGACGAGAGAAAUUAAAAUCGUAUUUAAUAAAAUAUAAAAAAUAUAGGUUUAGUAACUUAAGUUUUUUUUAUAUUAUUACAAUUACAUUACCAGUUACUCUAUUGUGGGCUACGAGAUAUUAAGAUUAGGUUAAAUACAUUAUAAAUAAAUAAUAAGUAUAAAUAAUAUGCCACAGAAGUUGCAUAUGCUAGUAGUGACCAUGACACUUGUUAGUACAGUAGAUGCACAUAUCAUUUCAUUGCAAUUAGAAUGCAUUUAUAAUGUAGUAUUGUUUAUCAAAUGCGGAUACUCAUUUGCAAUACAAGUACAAGGAUACCUGGUUCAUGCGGGUUAAUGUAACAAAACUUCACACCAUAUUUAAGGGAGCCCAAAGAGCAGCAACAGCAAAAAAUUUACCAUAGCUGCGGAGACCUAAGCACCUUCACUACACUCACCCACUUUUGUAUCAGUUACAUAUAUUUGAAUAUUUCAUUUAUAUAAUACACACAUUAUUUGUUCUAAAGUUGUAACUUUAAAUAACACUCUGGACUUGAACUCUGAUAAUGGCACGCAACAACUCAAAGUAUACAUGAAAUUAAACUAUUUUCACAAUAUUUUUUUACAAAUAUAUCAUUUUUUUAUAUGUAUUUAUAAGCUACAGAAGUAUAAAAAUAUUAUGUACACUAAUAUUAUGAUGAUUACUACAUAGUGUAUGAGAUUUGUUGUUGAUAAAAAUUAGUUCAACCCAAACCCAACACAAUAUUCCAUCCUAAUCGUAAUACAAUAAUAUAAAUAAUCUUUAGAAAUAUAAACUAUCAAUCUCCAGUCAUAAAAUUAAUGUUAUUUAUAUACAAUGAUUUAUCAUUGAAAUUAAAUACAAUUAUUAUAGUGAUUAGGUGCACAUAUUAUGUAGCAGAGUAACUUCCCUAGUUUUUUUUUUAUUUACUCAAAGUAUAUCCAAAAAUUGAAUGCUGUAGUGUUAUACCACAGAAUAGAAUAAUAUACCUUAUAUAAUAUUAUAUUAAGUGUUAAAAUCAUUUAAGAAGUUUUCAAAUGUUAUGGAUUGUUAUUUUUGUGUUGGAUUUUUAAACUUUUUUAAAAGCUUAAAAUGUUAUUAAAACAAUGAUAUUAUUUUUGUAAGAAAUAUGCAGCUAUAAUGUAUUGUAAAUAUUAUUCGUUAAAGGUAUAAUAUACGCAUACUAGCUCACCGAUACUUUUCAAAAUCAUAAUAUAUUCUUAACCUAAUAAAAUUAAAGUAACUUGGUAUUUUUUAAUGUUACCUCGUAGUUAAAUUAAUAGAAUAAAUUGAAAAAAUAAAAUAUAAGAAUAAAUAGUAUAUACCUACUUUAAUAUGUAGACAUGUAAGUAAAUUAUAUAAUGUAUAGUGUACAUAUUUGAUCUCACUAGUAACUACUUCAGUGUAAGUAUAAAGAACAUAUUUUAUACUAUGUAUAAUAUUAUAAAUUACUAAUAAAUUUCAAAAUAAAAUAAUUUUAAUAGAAUUAAAUAUAAUAACAAAGAAAACAUUGAAGAGGGAAAAAAGGUGGCUGUACAAAAACAAAAAUAAUGUAAACAUUUAAGGCAACUUUUUUGUCACAAAGUAGAUAUACCACCUUUUACCAAAGCUCCCUAAUUUACUAUUCAAGCCGUUUUUAUACUGUGAAUUAUUGCAUAUUAUUAUGUGAUUGUUUUAAUAAAUAUUAAUAUUAUAAAAUCAA